rnacentral:tRNA from 1 species
GGAAGGUUGGCAGAGCGGUCUAAUGCACCGGACUUGAAAUCCGGCGUGUCGGCAACGGCACCGUGAGUUCGAAUCUCACACCUUCCGCCA